AAUAUCAAAUAUGUGUGUAUGAAUCUUACGCUAUGUGCAUUUGUGAAAAGAAUAAAAAUUCAUUUUUUUUCUUCUUCAAGAAACAAGAAUUUAUUUUUCUCCCAUUUUCAUUUCACCCAAAAUUACACUUUCGAUUCUUCCAAAAUCUCUCGCAUUCUCACCGAUUCCCAAAAUCACACUUCAAACUCACAAUCUCUGGCGUUUCUCUUUUCUCCGCCGAUUCUUCAAUGAUCAUUUGUGUGCAUCUUCCGCAUCCCGCGAUUUCAAUGAGAAAUUUUCAAGUCGAUUUCUGAAUCAAUUGUUUGCGUGCUGGAGGAAUUUGGUUUGUGAUUGAUUUUCGUGGGGGAAUUCUGUGGAUGAAUUCUAAAAUUUAUACAUGUGAUGUUACAGGGCUGAGGUAGAAGGCAAAAAAGAGUGCUAUGGUGUAAAAAUAGGGAUGAGGUAGAAAGCAAAAAAGAUAGAUACUCCAUGAUGCAAUAAUAGUGGAAUUGUGUUUGCUAAAGCUGAACAGAGUUGGUGGUAUGAAGAGCAGGAUCUUCGGUUCUUUUUCCAGUAUGGAAAUAAUCUUAGACCUCCAGUUCUUCUUUUUCCAGGAUCAGCAGGAGCUUAUGCACAUCUCAGAUUGUUACGGGAAAAAGUCUCAAAGUUGACUAUGAAGCGAGGUAAUUUCAAUUGUUAGUGAUGUAAUAUAUAUAAUUAUAUCUUGUUCAAAAAAAAAAAUAUAAUUAUAUAUGAACAACCAUGUUCGGCGCUGCCGAGUAAUGUAAAUUAGGAUUCGGAUGUUCCUGUUGCUGCUGUUUCUGAAAUUCUGGUUUCUAUCACAUCACUUGAGUACUUGUUCUAAUGUUGGCACUGAAAAACCUGAACCAGAUAUUCAAAUAAAACGUUUUGUGAGAAAGAUAUAAAAAAGUCUUUGAUUGAUUAAACUACCAGUUUUUUGUUGAGCAAACAAGGUAUAAAAACUACACUUGGGGCUGAAUUAGUGAUUGUAUGUAUAAUUCUAUUGUGUGGUUCACAAUUCAAGAAUUUGAUUGAAAUCUUCAAUGUAUAAUUCUAAAAUUUGUGUUGGACCGUUGGUAAGUGUGUUCCAUACCCAAGUUAUUCUUCUAUCUCUACAUUAUACUCUUUCUGUGUUCCAAUUCACACCCUAGACUUUCAAUAUGCUAUUUAUGCUUUUUGAUUGAUUGCAGAAAUACCUUAAAAGUUGGAUCAGUUGACUUGAAAUUAGUACAGAAACUCACAAUUUAUGAACUGAGUUUGUUUCUAUCACAUCAUAAAAUUAAGUGUCUAUGUUUCUUGUCUAUUCUUAUACAAUAGAUAUGUUUCAUUAUUACCGACAGUAGGCAUAUACUCUACAAAGGCAUAUAAUCCUCCAAAGUUCAAAGUUCUUAUGAAGGAAUAUGUAAGCCUCUGCAAAGGCAUGUUUUCUCCUACCUUAUUUAUCUUUUUUGUCCGGUAAGUUCCUUUGGCUAAAGUUGUUUCUCUUAUGUUGUUCAUUUGGUUAGAGCAUAUCUUGCAAAGAAAAUGAUGCGUAGAAUUGCUUUAGCAUUAGAUGGAUCACCAUGCGUUUGAAGGUGAUAGAGCUUAUGAUCUAUUUUGGAUUAUGCGGAUAGUUGGUUACCCGGGUGUAAAUGACAUAGGAUGGUAAUGAAAUCAAUCUAGCCUAUCUAGGACCUGAAUCUCUAAAAUUUUUACAUUUUUUAUCUAUGUUUGUUAGACCUUACAUUAUUGAACUAAGGCAUCAUACUUCUAGGGCUUUUGACAGAGGCUGUUGCCUGCAUAAAAUCUACUAACAAUUCAUUAAGAAUGAUUGGAUCUUCUGCUUAAGAAGGAAAAAAAACCUUAAUCGUUUAAACAGACAGUUUUUUGUUUGUCAGGAUAAUGGACAUAUCUGGUUUAUAAUCGAUAUAUGUUGGGAACGAUUGUGGCUGCUGAUUUUAUCAUUCUUAAUUAUUCAAACAUAUUUGCUACGGUAAUUAUGGGAUAAUUCAAGAACAUUCAAUCUUCUGCUUGAAAACACGAAACUUUAAUUGAGGAAACGUGAUUUUGCAUUAUGAACUUAAUAACCCUUGUCCCUAAUGUUACAUAAGUUUUGUAAGGGAUGGAUACCUCAAUGACCCUUGAGAAAAAUGCAUUAUGAAUUCUUCAUUCAUAAUGGAAAAGUUGGAUGGCGGCUUAGAAGUGAUUUUACAUUAAUAUAGAUAACAAUUUAUAUUUUUUAAGUUAUAAUUUUGACCCCACUUACUAAAAUUUCUGGAUCCGUCCCUGAAUAUAGGAAACGUGUUCUGUCCCAAAAAAUUUAAAUCUUCUGCUUAUUGCCUUAAUUGCGACCCAAACAACUGUCUCUAUCGAUGUCCCCUUUUCUGUCAGAAAUAAAGUAUGAACCUUUAUUCAUAAUGCAUGAAUGGAUGCCUAUUUUGAUUUGAUGACCCUUAGUCCCUAAAUUCAAUUUGCAACUGCAACUAGAUGUGAUUUUGUGUUAUGAACUUAAUGACCCUCAUAAAGGAAAAAAGGAUGGUCGCCUUUAAAGAAAUUUUAAUAUGAACUUUUUAUUCAAAACGUGUAUGGUCUCUAUUGCCUUAUUAUGACUGUGAAACUGUCACUGAGAUGAUAUAUGAGGCACAUAUGUUAGAAAUUUUGCUUUGAUGACCUAGUCCUAAAUGCAAUUUUGCAACUACAAUAUGAAGUGCUUUUGCAAAUGCAAAAUGGAGUGCAUGGUUGUGUUGGAUUAGCCUAUUGAUAAUGGUUUCAAAGGAAUUCUCUAAGGAAGAAACAAAUCAACUCAGGCAAAGUACAAAAAAGCUAACUCUUUAGAGUUUGAACUAUUUCUCACAACAUUUAUCCUGUAUAUAUGACAUUAUGCAGACCACCUAUGUCAUAUAGUGAUGCUUGCAUUGUGAUCAAUGAAUAAACCAUAACAAGGUUGCAUCUGUUAAUGUUUUUGGCUGCAGGUGAUUUUAUAAGAAUCAAAUAGCACUAGAUUUGUGUUGAUAAUUAUAAAUGCAAGUCUUGGAUUUAGUAAUUGACAAUACAUGUGAACUCUUAUAAGUGGCCUCUCGGUUUUGCAGCAUUGAAUCAAUCGAUCAUGUAGGUGGUACAACCUCUCCGGUAUGCAGCCUACAAACUUGCUGUGGUGACUGAUGACAAUUCUUCCAGACAAUAUUAUUAUGUAACAGGUUGGUUCUGCAGAUGCGUUAUCCUUUUUUUUUUUUUUUUUUUACCUGGCAUUGUUAGUAACUUAUCUAAAGUUUUGCAUGGUGCAAAAUCAAUGAUAAGUGGGGCUGCCGGAAGCAUGGAAGCUAUUGACCUAGCAAUUAGAGUUUUGGCAGAGUUCCAUAUAGUUCUCCAGGAUGAUGCUAAUACAUCUGUCCUGGAUAUGAAAGUGUCUGCAAGCUUUGAUUCAGACGAGUGUAUUACUCUUUCUCUUUUGGACGAGAUUCAUAAAAAAUAACUAGUUCUCAAACUCAAGUUCAAGAAAUGGGAAUACUGGUCCUGACGGAGAAACCUUGUAUUUGCAUGUGACCCCAACAAAAGAUUACAUCAGCACAUGUAAAUAAGCUGUUGACUGCAACUUUUCCACAUAUCUGUAUCCACUCUUCACAAAAGGUGAGAAAGGGACUUGUUGAUGCCAUAAAAGGACUCUUAUUGGAGUGCUUCUACACACUGGGGGACAGUAGACUGAUGCUUCUGCUGCAAAGUGAACACUGACAUGCUUCUUCUUUUCAAAUCUCAGCUUGUUGCAGCACAGUAAAUUAGAGAAUAUAUAACACUAGUUCAUAAUAGAAGGACAACAACAUUAUAAUAUAGAUAAGGUGAUGCUUACCUGAACAAGGCAAAUAGUAAUAUUCCUUCUUUGAUUUCCAUAAAGUUAUAUCAACUGCAUCCAUUCAAAA